UGGCAACUCCGUCUGAUUUUGAUUCUGCUCUGACAUACGUGAGACUACGAGCAUUGUUGGGAGCUACAUUGUUGUUGUUUCCUGUGUCAGCUGAAUCACGCUUCCAUUGCAUACUCCUGCCUCCACCUCUAACAACAGAACGACCCCUAACUGCACCACCUCUAAAGUAUGAUGGGGCUCUUGUGAACCUUCCACCUCG